rnacentral:sRNA from 1 species
UAACGAAAGUUUCUUAAGGUGUUGAUC